UUUUUUUUUUUGUCUUUUGCUAUUUCUUGGGCCGCUCCCGCGGCAUAUGGAGGUUCCCAGGCUAGGGGUUGAAUCGGAGCUGUAGCCACCGGCCUACGCCAGAGCCACAGCAACGCGGGAUCCGAGCCGCGUCUGCAACCUACACCACAGCUCACGGCAACGCCGGAUCGUUAACCCACUGAGCAAGGGCAGGGACCGAACCCGCAACCUCAUGGUUCCCAGUCGGAUUCGUUAACCACUGCGCCACAACGGGAACUCCCCAAAGGGUCAUUUUAAAUAAAUGCAUAUUGUGAUAAUCAUUUGGACCUACCAAAAUAGUUUUCAUCAUUGCAUUAUUCUUUAGUGUUUAGGUAUUUUUUUAAUGUUUCAAUAUUAUGAAUCCUUCUGUAAUUAAAACACUUCAUGUAAUUAUUUGUGUACCUCUCUGAUGACUUGAGAAAAAUUCCUUGAGGUGGCAUUAGUGGAGCAAAAGAUGCAAAUCUUAAUGCAUAUCAUCUAAUUCCUUCUAAAAAGAUUGAAGAAUUUUACAUUACCACCACAAGGGUAAACUUCCAUUGCCUGAACCCCUGCUCAUACUAGAUAUCACUGUUUAGCAUUGUCAAUCUGGUAAAUCAAAAUAGCAUCCCACAGUUGAUUCAUCUGCAUUUCUUUAUUAGAAAGGCUGAACUUCUUGUGAAAUUUUACCAUAGUAAUAGACUACUGGACUUUGAAUUUAAACUAUAAUGUAGCUUUGCCUAUAACUGAAUUGUGAGCAACACUGCUAUUUAUAAUUUAUUAUUGCCUCAAGCCACACAGGGUAAGACAUGCUCUGCUUAAAUUAUGUACAGUACUUUUAUUAAAGUUACAUUUCAUAAAAUCUCCCAAACCAAAUCAGAGUAAAUGUCUUCUGUCCUCCCUUCUUAUUACUUUCUGGUUUAUACAGACAUGAAGAAAAUUAUACUUAAGAGUCUUUUACCUAUGAGGUAUGUUUAAAGCAAUUAAUCCAUCAUCACACCUUAAUUAAGAAUAUGAAUUAUCUGUAUUUAACAUUGAGACUGCAAAAAAAAAAGAAUGCUUAGUAAACAAUUGAUAAAUGAAAGUUUUUUUAAGAUUUUCAAAAUCACAGAAAAGAAGUUUUUAAUGAAGAUCAGAGAUUAGAAAUAAAAUCUCUUCAUUUUUAACAUCAAAGUUAUAAUAAUCCCAAAACCGUAAUACAUAAUCUUCCUCCAGAAGUGAAUGUUCCAAGCUGGUUCCAGAUGGAAAGUUCCAAGUGCCAGUUUUCAGCUGUCUCCUGUAAGGCCCAACUCAAAAAUCCAUUUAGCUACCUUUAUUCCCCAAUGACAUUCCUGCUUCAUGAAUCUGGAUUAACAGAGGUCAAAAGGCAAAGUGAAGGAGAGGAAAGAUGGAGAGGUAAGAAUGGACUCAGAUAAUUUUGCUUCCCACAAUGUUAAUUCUAUUUGGGUCAACAAAGGAGACUAAUCAAGCACUUUAUUUAUUUAUUUAUUUAUUUUGGCCUUUUUAGAGCCUCCCCCGUGGCAUAUGGAAGUUCCCAGGCUGGGGGUCUAAUCAGGGCUGCAGCUGCCAGCCUAUGCCACACCCACAGCAAUGCCAGAUCCAAGCCACAUCUGCAACCUACAUCACAGCUCACAGCAACACUGGGUCUUUCAUCCACUCAGUGAGGCCUGGAAUCAAACCGGUGUCCUCAUGGAUACCAGUCAGAUUCAUUACACUGAACACAAUGGGAACUCUUAAUCAAGGUCUUUAGUACUAUACGCCACUACGAUUUUGUGGCAAACACCCCAAACUGCUUUUUUUUUCCCAGAGAUAAUCCCUGGGAGAGAGCUACUUCUCUUUAUCAUAGUCACAGCUAUCAAACAGAAAGCACUGGCUUUUAUUUAAAAAGAUGUGUAAGACAUAACGACCUUGUAAAUUUUCAUUGGUCUUUGCACCAGAAAAAAAAUAACUACAGAAGACAAUUUGGGGGACAGUUGUGGACUGGAUAUCAGACGACAUUACACAAUUACUGUUCAUUUUCUUAGGUGUAAAAAGAGGUAGUCGUAGUUUUAUGUAGGACGAUAGUUUUAUUCCUUUCUAAUACGUAAGUAUGAACAUUUUAACUAUUGAUCUCCAAAAGUCUAAUCCCAAACUGCUCUAUUGAAAACCCACAUUAAUUGGGAAGAGUACUAAUAUUCACAGAGUGGUGAAAAUAUGGAGGAUUUCUGUUAUCUUGCAUAUUUGGGAGAGGAAUAGUAUAAAUAUUUAAAUUAGUUAAUAUUAACAUGAAAUACCUAUUAACACUAAAUAGUCUAAAUAACAUUAAAUUAACAUUAAAUUAUACAUAGAUAACUACAGAUUGUCUUGUCAAGUAAACUGAUUUAGAAAGAUGGCCCCCAUACCUGAAUAGUUAAUAGUUAAUUUGCAAUUCUUUAAUCCUUCUAAAUUAGCUGACUAACGGAAAAUUACGGGUUCAUAAUGACAUUACAGUUUAAACACUCCCUUUGUGCUAUGUACUUUUUAUCCCAUUUAAAAAGAAGGGUCUGGUACUUAUUACAGAUGUAAUCUAAAAUAAUCUAUUCCAAACCCAGUAUUCUUUGCCAUUCUAUUAACAGGUGUAGUUGUUCUUUGUCCAUUAAGUACAACUGUUAUGGGAUGAAGCACUGUUUCAAAGUCCUAAGUGAGAUUCCCAAAAGAGCCACACAGGAGUUCUCUUGUGGCAUAGCAGGUUAGGGAUCUGGCAUUGUCACUGCAUUAGCUUAAGUCACUGCUGUGGCAUGGGUUUGAGCCCUGCCCUGGGAAUUUCCACAUGCUUUGAGAGCGGCCUCUCCUCCCACACCUGCCAAAAGUCACCCAAUUUGUGACUGCAGCAGGUAUCAUUUCCUUUGUAUUAAUUUAUUUUUGUGCUUUGGAGUAUUUUUUCUCUCCUUUCUGUCUCUUCUGUCAACACAAUUGCUAUUUGGACAAAAAUAAAAAUAAGGAUUAUAACAUUAAAUUGUUCAUGUACCAAUCUUAUUUACUUAUAGUUUUUAGGUGCUUUUUUUUUUUUACUUCUAUAACUUGCAACUUCAUUUUAUCAUCUCAAAUUUGAAAAUACGGAUCAUUUUAGAUGAUAUAUGCAUGAAGCAACAAAGACUUUACUAAAUAUACCAGCAGUGGAAAAAAAGAGACAGCAUACUUAAUUCAGCUACCAAAGUCAAUUUAACUAAAUCUUGGAAAACAAAAUAAUGUAUGUGUUCAGAAAACAUAUGCAAAUAUGUAAUAUACAACUUAGAAAUACAGAAUACAAAUGCAUCUAGUAAAAAUUAUUUCACAUUGUGAAAUUUAGAAAUUAGGAAAUCCCCAUACUGAGUUUUAAAAAGAAUUUCCUAAAAGCUUUUUCUUCUUCAAUAAGCACAAACAUAGACUGUGAUUUCACUACUUAGCUAAGGUUAGAUAUGUGUCACUCAAACACUUUCAGUUCAAUAAUUAUUAUAUAAAUGACAGCACUGUAUGGCUAUUUAUAGAGUAAGUGAGCAUCUGUACAAAGAAGAAAAAGUAAUUUACAAUCUCUAGGUUGAGGAUUUUCUUUGAACCCUGUGUAUCUUGGUUUUAAAGUAGAACUCUCCUCAACUUAAGUGAGAAAACAUAACUAAUACGCAAAAAAAACCAGAGUCUAACUAAAGAUACUAGCUCUUAAACUUUACAUGAGAAAAUAUUGCCUCAGCAGAAUGGCUCAUUUAACCUGCUUUAUCUGUGUUUUCACUCAACAUAGAUAUAAAUCAUGAUGUAGUUCAGAUAAACGUGUCUCCGUAAGGAAACAAUUUCUUUAAUUUCCUUGGUCUGUUCCCUACUUCCAUCGCUGCACUUUAUCUAUUACAAGUGCUUCUGCAAGCUAUUGUAACUGAUUGUUCAUUUAUCCAUCUACCUCAUUGCACCCCAGAAGACUGAACCAAAUUUUUCAUGACAUCUGAUACAAUCAACUGUACAAUAUGUGAACAAAGAAAAGCUAAAUAAAAUAGGAAAACUUAACUCAUCAAUGCACUGCUUCUGAGUAAAAGAGUAAAAAUAUUUUAAGCUAUUUUGAGAAGUAAGUUAGAAGCUAGAAAGUAAUCUUAUGGUAUCUUGAUAAUUUAAAUACUAUCAUCAAAUCUUCUGUUUUACCUAAGAGAAAUGCAGGAGUAGAAGGAGAAAGCCACAAAUUGCUCGAGGUCAGAAAUGGAAGCAGAAAAACAUGGAGCACAUAAUACGAAAAAUUCUGGACUCUCCACGUGUCUCCAUAUGAAAAAGCUCUUGAUUUUGGUGUGAAAAUGGGGUUUAUCUACAUACAUGAUCACAUGUUUGGGGAGGAGAGGUAAAUAUCGUAACAUGCAAUAUGUGGAAAUAAGUGUAAGAAAAAAGCCUUAUGAAGCACAGGAACUGCUCAUAUUUUUCCAUCUUUUCAUUGCUAGGCUGGAGAAUAUAAAAGAUAACAGUGGUAGCCACUUCAUGACCUCUCAGUCAUAAUAGAACUAAUGAAAGCACAAUGAUCCAAUCUUACUCAGAGAACUUGUCUUGGAUUUUAAAAAGAGCACCACUGGAACAGCUCUCUCAGAAUACGCUCCUAUAAGCUCUUAAAAGUUAUUUGGAAAAUUGUCAAUACAGCUGGAGUUCUUUUCAAUACAGCAGCAGGUCCAAAGAAAUAGUAAAGAUGCUUUAAAAACUGAUAUAAUUCAGAAAAGAUAAUUUAAAAAAUAUUAGGGCAAUUAUGACAUGUUACAAAGAAAUCUAUGGCAGCUAGAAAUGAAUAAGGAGUCCACAGAAUGAUAAUUGGAAAUGCGUUUACAAGAUUAUUCAGUUUUCCCCAGUAGGCGAGUUACUGUCCCUUCUUGCUUCUUAUUGGUACAAAAUUUAUUUCAGGGGCCAGAGAUUCUAAAAGCAUUACACAGUGUGAAGAAUAUAAUGAUUUAAAAAAGGCUAUUAUCAAAAUUAACACUUUAGAUCUACAAGCCCCAGUGAAGCAAGAUCGAGAUUUAGUUAUAUAAAUGAGAGGUGUGCUCCGUCCUAAGAGUAGGUAACAGCUGGAUACUGUGCAGAGGAAUGUGCAUAACAACGGGUGGGAUGUUCAUGAUGCUGAAGGGCGAGAGAGAUGUAUAGCUUGGGAAGUGAUGUGGAUAAUUACUUGUCAUUAAACAGCAGAGUAACUGCUUCAGCAAAUUCCCAUGUAACUUUUCCACAUGAAACUUCAACGUACCCUUGGACUUACUAAGCACACACGGUUGUCUCAGAGGCUCUUAGCAAAAAGAAUCAGCAGUAAAUGAUGCAUCACCCUUGAAAAGAAGAUCACUGUUUUAUUUAUUUGUUCUCUUUUUGUCUUUUUAGGGCCUGCACCUGAGGCAUCUGGAGGUUGCCAGGUGUGGCCCUAAAAAGACAAAAAGACAGGGAGAAAAAAAAAAAGAAUGUAUACAUGUGUGUUUGACUGGGUCACCUUGCUGUAUAGUAGAAAACUGACAGAACACUGUAAACCAGCUAUAAUGGAAAAAAUAAAAAUCAUUAUAAAGUAAAUAAAUAAAUAAAUAAUUUAAAAUAAACAUUAAAUUCCAGCAUGCUCUCACUGGUUCUCCUGCCACCAGGCUUCACAGAGACCAAAAGCAAUUCAGGAGAAAUUACAGAGAAAGAAGAGGCAAGCUAAUGACAGCCCUGAAUGUGAUUUAAUGCCACUGCUAGUAAGUUAAUCCUAUAUGAGAAAAAACUGAACAAUCAAUAUGUGCUGGAAAAGAGCCCUGAGGGAGUUCCUGUUGUGACUCAAUGGGAUAAGAACACAGCAUAUUGCCUGUGAGGAUGUUGGUUUGAUCCCUGGCCUUGCUCAGCAGGUUAAAUAUCUGGCAUUGUCACAAGCUGCAGUGUAGGUCACAGAAGCAGCUGGGAUCUGGUGUUGCUGUGGCUGUGGCACAGACCAGCAGCUGCAGCUCCAAUUCCACCCCUAGCUCAGGAACUUCCAUAUGCUACAGGUGCAGCCCUAUAAAGAAAAUGGGAAAAAAAAAAAAAAAAAAAGAGCACUGACACAGGGAAGGCACCUGAAAAAGUACAUUGAAGAUGACAAGACAACAUCAGAAAGGAUUGCUAUUGGAGGGAGAAGGGAGCUAAAACAGAAGGAAAGGUUUCUUUGGAAAUUAUACACAGAGAAGUAAAGAGGCAAGGGGAAACAGAAUCUCAUAAGACAAAAGAAAAUUUAAAAAUCAAAAGACGCAUGACAUCCAGUAGAGAAACAACACGUUGCCUGCAAUGACAGAACACAGCGCUCUUGAACUAAGAACAUCAGAGUCAUCCCAACUCACUGGAAAAACAAACCAAAAAAAAAAAAAAAAAA
rnacentral:lncRNA from 1 species